UACAGAGGGUGCAAGCGUUAAUCGGAAUUAUUGGGCGUAAAGGGCUUGUAGGUUGUUGUUUAAGUUAGAUGUGAAACCCCUGGGCUUAACCUGGGACGUGCAUUUAAUACUGGAUGACUAGAGUAUGGUAGAGGAGUAGGGAAUUCCUGGUGUAGCAGUGAAAUGCGUAGAGAUCAGGAGGAACAUCAGUGGCGAAGGCGCUACUCUGGACUAAUACUGACACUGAGGAGCGAAGGCGUGGGGAUCAAACAGG
rnacentral:rRNA from 1 species